AACGAACGCUGGCGGCAUGCCUAACACAUGCAAGUCGAACGAGACCUUCGGGUCUAGUGGCGCACGGGUGCGUAACGCGUGGGAACCUGCCCUUAGGUUCGGAAUAACUCCCCGAAAGGGGUGCUAAUACCGGAUAAUGUCUUCGGACCAAAGAUUUAUCGCCUUUGGAUGUGCCCGCGUUGGAUUAGCUAGUUGGUAGGGUAAAAGCCUACCAAGGCGACGAUUCAUAGCUGGUCUGAGAGGAUGAUCAGCCACACUGGGACUGAGACACGGCCCAGACUCCUACGGGAGGCAGCAGUGGGGAAUAUUGGACAAUGGGCGAAAGCCUGAUCCAGCAAUGCCGCGUGAGUGAUGAAGGCCUUAGGGUUGUAAAGCUCUUUUACCCGGGAUGAUAAUGACAGUACCGGGAGAAUAAGCUCCGGCUAACUCCGUG
rnacentral:rRNA from 1 species